AGCACCAUCUCAGAUUCCUCACAUAGUUUUGAAGAUGAAACGACUGAAGCUGACACCCCGCCCCCUCCCAGGCAAGACUAAGGUGAUCCCAUUAGGAGGAGUGUUAGUGGUGGUUUCAGUCCUCCAAUAUCAUUUGUGACCGGCCAGAAGACUGAUCCCUACUUUUCAGAUGCAGACUGACAGGAGAGAUAGUAUUUUACUACUAUGUGAAGGCAGCUUUCUGAUAAAGAUAAUGUUUUCUCUG